rnacentral:rRNA from 1 species
UACGUAGGGUGCAAGCGUUAUCCGGAGUUACUGGGCGUAAAGGGCGUGUAGGCGGUCUGUUAAGUCUGGUGUGAAAGCUCUCGGCUAAACCGGGAGAGGUCGUUGGAUACUGGCAGACUAGAGGACGGUAGAGGCGUGUGGAAUUCCGGGUGUAGCGGUGAAAUGCGUAGAUAUCGGGAGGAACACCUGUGGCGAAAGCGGCUCUCUGGACCACAACUGACGCUGAGGCGCGAAAGCUAGGGGAGCAAACAGG